GGCUUGAUCUGUUUGUACGUCUGUCACCCCAUUGAUCACAGGGUUGAUUCAGCUGAUCUGGGUGGCUAGGCAAGUACUCCCCUCCUCCCUCACUGCUCCAUGUGCAUGCUUCCCAAAGCUGUAUGCUAGGAGAAAGGAUGAUUUAUUCUGAUAGAGAAGGACUGUUAUUUGGUCAAGGGUAAAUGAAUAGCUGUGUUCCCUUGCUAGAACCUCCAAACAAGCUCUCAACUAAGUUUGAUGUGGGGUGAUCUGAUUGCGGUUUCAUUGGAAGAACCCCAACUGUCAGGAUUUUAUC
rnacentral:snRNA from 1 species